rnacentral:snRNA from 1 species
AUCGCUUCUCAGCCUUUUGGCUAAGAUCAGGGGUAGUAGUAUCUGUUCUUGUCAGCUUAAUAAAUCACUUAUGAUAGGGAUAUUUAGAUAUGUUCAUCUUUUUGAUAUUCCAUAUUGAUGCAUUUUUAAACCUUU